rnacentral:sRNA from 1 species
ACUUUAAAAUUAAAAUCAUGAAGUACAAGGGGGAAAUUGGUACUACUGGCAUAUUAUGAGCAGCCUCCUGUUCAUGCCCUGCUCCCUGCUGGCUGCCAGCCCCAGUGUGUGAAUGGCUCCUUUCUGUCUUUGCAGAGUGACGAUUCAGAUGAGGAUGAGCCUUGUGCCAUCAGUGGCAAAUGGACUUUCCAAAGGGACAGCAAGAGGUGGUCUCGGCUUGAAGAGUUUGAUGUCUUUUCUCCAAAACAAGACCUAGCCCCUGGGUCCCCAGACGACUCCCACCCGAAGGACGGCCCCAGCCCCGGAGGCACGCUGAUGGACCUCAGCGAGCGCCAGGAGGUGUCUUCUGUCCGCAGCCUCAGCAGCACUGGCAGCCUCCCUAGCCACGCGCCCCCCAGCGAGGAUGCUGCCACCCCCCGGACUAACUCCGUCAUCAGCGUUUGCUCCUCCAGCAACUUGGCAGGCAAUGACGACUCUUUCGGCAGCCUGCCGUCUCCCAAGGAACUGUCCAGCUUCAGCUUCAGCAUGAAAGGCCACGAAAAAACCGCCAAGUCCAAGACGCGCAGUCUGCUGAAACGGAUGGAGAGCCUGAAGCUCAAGGGCUCCCACCACAGCAAGCACAAAGCGCCCUCAAAGCUGGGGUUGAUCAUCAGCGGGCCCAUCCUGCAAGAGGGGAUGGAUGAGGAGAAGCUGAAGCAGCUCAACUGCGUGGAGAUCUCCGCCCUCAACGGCAACCGCAUCAACGUCCCCAUGGUACGAAAGAGGAGCGUUUCCAACUCCACGCAGACCAGCAGCAGCAGCAGCCAGUCGGAGACCAGCAGCGCGGUCAGCACGCCCAGCCCUGUUACCAGGACCCGGAGCCUCAGUGCGUGCAACAAGCGGGUGGGCAUGUACUUAGAGGGCUUCGAUCCUUUCAAUCAGUCAACAUUUAACAGCGUGAUGGAGCAGAACUUUAAGAACCGCGAGAGCUACCCAGAGGACACGGUGUUCUACAUCCCUGAAGACCACAAGCCUGGCACUUUCCCCAAAGCUCUCACCAAUGGCAGUUUCUCCCCCUCGGGGAAUAACGGCUCUGUGAACUGGAGGACGGGAAGCUUCCACGGCCCUGGCCACAUCAGCCUCAGGAGGGAAAACAGCAGCGACAGCCCCAAGGAACUGAAGAGGCGCAAUUCUUCCAGCUCCAUGAGCAGCCGCCUGAGCAUCUACGACAACGUGCCGGGCUCCAUCCUCUACUCCAGUUCAGGGGACCUGGCGGAUCUGGAGAACGAGGACAUCUUCCCCGAACUGGACGACAUCCUCUACCACGUGAAGGGGAUGCAGCGGAUAGUCAAUCAGUGGUCGGAGAAGUUUUCUGAUGAGGGAGAUUCGGACUCAGCCCUGGACUCGGUCUCUCCCUGCCCGUCCUCUCCGAAACAGAUACACCUGGAUGUGGACAACGACCGAACCACACCCAGCGACCUGGACAGCACAGGCAACUCCCUGAAUGAACCGGAAGAGCCCUCGGACAUCCCGGAAAGAAGGGAUUCUGGGGUUGGGGCUUCCCUAACCAGGUCCAACAGGCACCGACUGAGAUGGCACAGUUUCCAGAGCUCACAUCGGCCAAGCCUCAACUCUGUAUCACUACAGAUUAACUGCCAGUCUGUGGCCCAGAUGAACCUGCUGCAGAAAUACUCACUCCUAAAGCUAACGGCCCUGCUGGAGAAAUACACACCUUCUAACAAGCAUGGUUUUAGCUGGGCCGUGCCCAAGUUCAUGAAGAGGAUCAAGGUUCCAGACUACAAGGACCGGAGUGUGUUUGGGGUCCCACUGACAGUCAACGUGCAGCGCACAGGACAGCCGUUGCCUCAGAGCAUCCAGCAGGCCAUGCGAUACCUCCGGAACCAUUGUUUGGAUCAGGUUGGGCUCUUCAGAAAAUCAGGGGUCAA